AUGAACGCUGGCGGCGUGCCUAAUACAUGCCAGUCGAGCGAACGGACGAGAAGCUUGCUUCUCUGAUGUUAGCGGCGGACGGGUGAGUAACACGUGGAUAACCUACCUAUAAGACUGGGAUAACUUCGGGAAACCGGAGCUAAUACCGGAUAAUAUUUUGAACCGCAUGGUUCAAAAGUGAAAGACGGUCUUGCUGUCACUUAUAGAUGGAUCCGCGCUGCAUUAGCUAGUUGGUAAGGUAACGGCUUACCAAGGCAACGAUGCAUAGCCGACCUGAGAGGGUGAUCAGCCACACUGGAACUGAGACACGGUCCAGACUCCUACGGGAGGCAGCAGUAGGGAAUCUUCCGCAAUGGGCGAAAGCCUGACGGAGCAACGCCGCGUGAGUGAUGAAGGUCUUCGGAUCGUAAAACUCUGUUAUUAGGGAAGAACAUAUGUGUAAGUAACUGUGCACAUCUUGACGGUACCUAAUCAGAAAGCCACGGCUAACUACGUG
rnacentral:rRNA from 1 species